CAAUCAAACCGGGAGAUAGCUGGUUCUCCCCGAAAGCUAUUUAGGUAGCGCCUCGUGAAUUCAUCUCCGGGGGUAGAGCACUGUUUCGGCAAGGGGGUCAUCCCGACUUACCAACCCGAUGCAAACUGCGAAUACCGGAGAAUGUUAUCACGGGAGACACACGGCGGGUGCUAACGUCCGUCGUGAAGAGGGAAACAACCCAGACCGCCAGCUAAGGUCCCAAAGUCAUGGUUAAGUGGGAAACGAUGUGGGAAGGCCCAGACAGCCAGGAUGUUGGCUUAGAAGCAGCCAUCAUUUAAAGAAAGCGUAAUAGCUCACUGGUCGAGUCGGCCUGCGCGGAAGAUGUAACGGGGCUAAACCAUGCACCGAAGCUGCGGCAGCGACACUAUGUGUUGUUGGGUA
rnacentral:rRNA from 1 species